CGAAACUUCACCUUCUGCAGGUGUCACCUGGCUUCAGGGACCCAGGGGCAGGACCGACUGCCUCACACUGGAACAGUCUCUGUAAAAUCCAAAGGUGGCUACGCUGCUCUCCUGUCCACAACCCUCCACCACCUGCCUCAUCACAGAGCAUCCUGGAAGCUCACUCCUGAGCACACGCUCACGCCUUCAGUCACUCCCUGUGCUGCGCCCCAUUCCUCCAGGAAAGUCCACAAUUGUGCGCAUGCACGUCUCCAGAGGGGUCCGGACUCUGUCCUGACCCCCUCCCGGCCCUGUCCCCACCAUCACCUGCUUACUGCUCCUCACUGCUGAGCACCUGCUCUGACCACAUGGCCUCCUCUGACUUGUUACAUCACAGUGCAGUCCAACCGACACAAAGCUGGACAGUGAAACGCACAAGAACAAGGAUAAAGUACUUUGUGAUGCCCCAGAAACAAACACAGAUGCCUUCUCUACUCGAGGCUCCCAACUAUCUGAGCAAACAAACGGUGACACAUCUUCAGAGCCUCUAGGUGGCUGGGCCCACAGUGGCUCCCCCAGAGCAGGGCCCCGGGCACAUGUGGGACUCUCCUGAGCAGCCUCCCUGACUGGGAUAAGCAGAGCCGUCUCUAACACCGCCAGGAUCAACUCUGGCUGCAAAGCUCUGAUGUAGGGGUACCCAGAGCACCUUGCGAGAAAACACCACCAGGUCGUCUGAGUAAAGCAGCUGUGAUGACUCAAGCGAAAAAGGCUAUCCGGGCAUGGCACGAUGUACUCAUUCCAUGGAUAUGCUGAGCUGGUGUGCGAGCCAGGGCUCUCCUAGGGAUGUGUGAUAGAUUGGCUGAUAGGACCAAAAUGACAAGAGAAGUUAGGAUCCCAAGUCUGAAGACACAUGGCGCCAAGCCUGGACUGGUCACGUGUCCCACCAGCCCAGCUCAUCACUGGCUGCUUCCACUGGAGACAGAGCUGUAAUGAUGCCACUGCAGAUCCUCAGGCGACACCAGCCAGCCCAGGCCCUGCUGGCUGGCUUUGCGUUGGAAGGGACCAACAAAAUGGUCAUAGAAAUGACCAGACCAGAAGAUCAAGAAGACUUAUGUAGCUUGUCCUAACACCUGAGAGGUAGGAGCA
rnacentral:lncRNA from 1 species